rnacentral:rRNA from 1 species
UACGUAGGGGGCAAGCGUUGUCCGGAUUUAUUGGGCGUAAAGAGCUCGUAGGCGGUUUGUCGCGUCGAAUGUGAAAACCCGGGGCUCAACUCCGGGCCUGCAUUCGAUACGGGCAGACUAGAGUACUGCAGGGGAGACUGGAAUUCCUGGUGUAGCGGUGGAAUGCGCAGAUAUCAGGAGGAACACCGGUGGCGAAGGCGGGUCUCUGGGCAGUAACUGACGCUGGAGGAGCGAAAGCGUGGGGAGCGAACAGG